UCCCGGAGAGACACUGUUCUCACCUCAGUACCCGUGUCCUGAGCAAAAUCCUUCCGGCAGAUGUGGGCCAUGAUGCCCGCCGCCAGCGCGUCACCCAGCACGUUUAUCAUGGUGCGGAAGCGGUCCCUGGCAAGCCAAGGGAUUAAACUUGGAGCCCUGUGAGACUAGGCCCGUAUCCUGCCACUGAACUCCACCCAGGCCCAGCAUUCCAUGUCCAAGGCCUGAAAGGCAACGCAGACCUGGCUUUCACAGUGUUGGAGGCUGAGCUCUGUCAUGCUGCCCCGUUACCCACCUCCAGGAGUCUCUGAUCACGCCCCAACAGCCUCUUGCUGGCUGUGGGUCUUGUGCGUGCAACUACAGAACCAGAAGGGACCCUGGAAAGGAGAAGCGCCCACCCAAGGCCACAGUGGCUUCUGAUUGACAGCAGAAGAGAGUGAAGACUUCAGGACUCGUCCCCCAGGAAGCGUGUGACUCUCCCGGAAGCCCUGAGAUGUGGUACCCAGCCACACAGCUAUGCAGAGGCUCAGAGCACAAGGAUUGAUUUCACCAUGUGAGGAGCCCCUGAGACCAGACCCACGCUGGAACAUUUGACCCCGACACACGUGUGGGACCCAGAGCCUGGCCGCCCUGAGCGGGGCAAGGCAAGUGGGGAAGGCCAGGCUCCCCACAUAUCAGCAGCUUUUGCCACCCUGUAGAAAAGCUGUUUUGAAUCAGGGUCCGAGAAACGAUGGCUCCCAGGAGAAUAAUCCUAGAAACAACGGGUCUUAGAGGGUCUCGCAAAGUGGCCUCAAGUACGCCUGUUCUCCUGCCACGCCUCCUGCCCCUGUCAGCCCCACCAGGCAGCCUGCAGAGUUGCCAAGGACCACUGCAUCCUCUGCUGUGAUGAUAACCAAUGGAUUAAACCUCUGAACUGUAAGCCAGCCCUGAUUAAAUGUUUUCCUUUGUAAGA